GGAAUCUUGGACAAUGGGGGCAACCCUGAUCCAGCGACGCCGCGUGGGUGACGAAGGCCUUCGGGUUGUAAAGCCCUUUUGCCGGGGACGAUGAUGACGGUACCCGGAGAAGACGCACCGGCUAACUCCGUGCCAGCAGCCGCGGUAAUACGGAGGGUGCAAGCGUUAAUCGGAAUUACUGGGCGUAAAGCGCGCGUAGGCGGCUUUGUAAGUCGGAUGUGAAAGCCCUGGGCUUAACCUGGGAAUUGCAUUCGAUACUGCAUGGCUAGAGUAUGGUAGAGGGAAGUGGAAUUUCCGGUGUAGCGGUGAAAUGCGUAGAUAUCGGAAGGAACACCAGUGGCGAAGGCGACUUCCUGGGCCAAUACUGACGCUGAGGUGCGAAAGCGUGGGGAGCAAA
rnacentral:rRNA from 1 species